ACGCUGGCGGCACGCCUAACACAUGCAAGUCGAACGAAGUAGCAAUACUUAGUGGCAGACGGGUGAGUAACAUGUAGGUAUCUGCCCUUUGGCCUGGAAUAACACGAGGAAACUUGUGCUAAUACCGGAUAAGUCUUUACGGAGAAAGCUUUAUGCACCAUUGGAUGAGCCUGCACUUGAUUAGUUUGUUGGUGGGGUAAUGGCCUACCAAGACUGUGAUCAAUAGCUGAUUUGAGAGGAUGAUCAGCCACAUUGGGACUGAGACACGGCCCAAACUCCUACGGGAGGCAGCAGUGGGGAAUCUUGCACAAUGGAGGAAACUCUGAUGCAGCGAUGCCGCGUGAGUGAAGAAGGCCUUUGGGUUGUAAAGCUCUUUCGUCGGGGAAGAAAAUGACUGUACCCGAAUAAGAAGGUCCGGCUAACUUCGUGCCAGCAGCCGCGGUAAUACGAAGGGACCUAGCGUAGUUCGGAAUUACUGGGCUUAAAGAGUUCGUAGGUGGUUGAAAAAGUUAGUGGUGAAAUCCCAGAGCUUAACUCUGGAACUGCCAUUAAAACUUUUCAGCUAGAGUAUGAUAGAGGAAAGCAGAAUUUCUAGUGUAGAGGUGAAAUUCGUAGAUAUUAGAAAGAAUACCAAUUGCGAAGGCAGCUUUCUGGAUCAUUACUGACACUGAGGAACGAAAGCAUGGGUAGCGAAGAGGAUUAGAUACCCUCGUAGUCCAUGCCGUAAACGAUGUGUGUUAGACGUUGGAAAUUUAUUUUCAGUGUCGCAGGGAAACCGAUAAACACACCGCCUGGGGAGUACGACCGCAAGGUUAAAACUCAAAUGAAUUGACGGGGACCCGCACAAGUAGUGGAGCAUGUGGUUUAAUUCGAAGAUACGCGCAGAACCUUCCCAACACUUGACAUGUUCGUCGCGACUCUAAGAGAUUAGAGUUUUCGGUUCGGCCGGACGAAACACAGGUGCUGCAUGGCUGUCGUCAGCUCGUGUCGUGAGAUGUUGGGUUAAGUCCCGCAACGAGCGCAACCCUCACUUUUAGUUGCCAUCAUUAAGUUGGGCACUCUGAAAGAACUGCCAGUGAUAAGCUGGAGGAAGGUGGGGAUGACGUCAAGUCCUCAUGGCCCUUACGUGUUGGGCUACACACGUGCUACAAUGGUAUCUACAACAGGAAGCAAGACUGCGAAGUUAAGCAAAUCCCUAAAAGAUACCUCAGUUCGGAUUGCACUCUGCAACUCGAGUGCAUGAAGCUGGAAUUACUAGUAAUCGUGGAUCAGCGUGCCACGGUGAAUGCGUUCCCGGGUCUUGUACACACC
rnacentral:rRNA from 1 species